rnacentral:rRNA from 1 species
GAUGGGCAUGCGUGCCAUUAGGUAGUUGGCGGGGUAACGGCCCACCAAGCCUGCGAUGGCUACGGGGUCUAAAGGGAUGGUCCCGCACACUGGUACUGAGACACGGACCAGACUCCUACGGGAGGCAGCAGUGAGGAAUAUUGGUCAAUGGGGGCAACCCUGAACCAGCCAUGCCGCGUGGAGGAAGACGGCCCUAUGGGUUGUAAACUCCUUUUGUACGGGAAUAAUAGCAUCUACGUGUAGAUGUAUGAAGGUACCGUGUGAAUAAGCAUCGGCUAACUCCGUGCCAGCAGCCGCGGUAAUACGGAGGAUGCAGGCGUUAUCCGGAUUUAUUAGGUUUAAAGGGUGCGCAGGCGGCCCUAUAAGUCAGUGGUGAAAGUUUGCGGCUUAACCGUAAAAUUGCCAUUGAUACUGUAGGGCUUGAAUAUGGUAGAGGUAGGCGGAAUGUGUAGUGUAGCGGUGAAAUGCUUAGAUAUUACACAGAACACCGAUUGCGAAGGCAGCUUACUAUGCCAUGAUUGACGCUGAGGCACGAAAGCGUGGGUAGCGAACAGGAUUAGAU